UGAAGUUUGUUCUGCUGGAGCACCGAUGGCCAUAUAUAUGUUUCUUUAAUUAAUUUAGCAACGUUUGAUGAUCCAAAAUUGAAAAUGAGACGGUAGCUGCUGCCUUUGACAUGAUCCAUCCUCCCUGACACUCAUGCUAACAACUAAAUUUGAAACUGUUGUGCAGCAUGACUCCGACAGUGACCCUGCUGCGAAGGCGACAAGGAAACCGUUGCUGUUCGUCGUCAGGGAAAAAGAAAAGGGCAACGAUGGCCGUUUCCUGUCCAUGAUCUGCCAAUGAGACACCAAAGAAAUUUCAACAACAGUGAUGCUUUUCGUCUCCAGGUAACACUUGGGAUGCAUGAUAGGAAGGGUCUUUAUCUUGCGAGAUGCUAAUUUCCCGGGGGGAAAUUAUCAAAUAUGUGAAUUUACGAACCGGAUUUUCCGAAUCAGGAGGCCAACCGCACAAGGUACUAUCUAUCUGGAACAGUGGUAGGAGCAAGACAGUCGGGUGUUUUAUGCAACAGUUGAGCUGUAGGCGUGUACCAU
rnacentral:lncRNA from 1 species